GACGUAGGGGGCAAGCGUUGCUCGGAAUUACUGGGCGUAAAGGGUUCGUAGGCGGUGUGGCAAGUCGGGAGUGAAAUCUCUGGGCUUAACUCAGAGGCUGCUUCCGAAACUGCCGUGCUAGAGUGCGGGAGAGGCGAGUGGAAUUGCAGGUGUAGCGGUGAAAUGCGUAGAUAUCUGCAGGAACACCCGUGGCGAAGGCGGCUCGCUGGACCGCAACUGACGCUGAGGAACGAAAGCUAGGGGAGCAAACAGG
rnacentral:rRNA from 1 species